rnacentral:rRNA from 1 species
CCUACGGGGGGCAGCAGUGAGGAAUAUUGGUCAAUGGCCGGAAGGCUGAACCAGCCAAGCCGCGUGAAGGACGAAGGUGCCAAGCAUUGUAAACUUCUUUUGUCAAGGGACAAAAUCAGGCUCGAGAGCCUGACCGAGGGUACUUGAAGAAAAAGCAUCGGCUAACUCCGUGCCAGCAGCCGCGGUAAUACGUAGGGAGCGAGCGUUGUCCGGAUUUACUGGGUGUAAAGGGCGUGCAGCCGGGAGUACAAGUCAGAUGUGAAAUCCCGCGGCUCAACCGCGGAACUGCAU